CCUACGGGAGGCAGCAGUAGGGAAUAUUGGACAAUGGGCGAAAGCCUGAUCCAGCCAUGCCGCGUGAGUGAUGAAGGCCUUCGGGUUGUAAAGCUCUUUUGGCGGGGACGAUAAUGACGGUACCCGCAGAAUAAGCCCCGGCUAACUUCGUGCCAGCAGCCGCGGUAAU
rnacentral:rRNA from 1 species